AUUGAACGCUGGCGGCAGGCCUAACACAUGCAAGUCGAGCGUGCGGCGGACGGGUGAGUAAUGUAUGGGGACUGCCCGAUAGAGGGGGAUAACUACUGGAAACGGUAGCUAAUACCGCAUACUAUCGGAUAACCCCUAUGGGAUUAGCUAGUAGGUGUGGUAAUGGCUCACGUCGGCGACGAUCCCUAGCUGGACUGAGAGGAUGGUCACCGACCCGGGGACUGAGACACGGCCCAUGCGACUGCGGAGGGAGCAGGGGCGAAUAGUGCGCAGUGGGCGCGAGCCUGAUGCAGGCAUGGCGAGUGUAAGACGAAGGCCCUAGGGUUGUGAAGUACGUUCAGUCGGGAGACGUUACAGGUAGAAGAAGCACCGGCUAACUCCGUGCCAGCAGCCGCGGUAAUAC
rnacentral:rRNA from 1 species